rnacentral:rRNA from 1 species
CCUUUUGGUUCGGAACAACCCAGGGAAACUUGGGCUAAUACCGGAUAAGCCCUUACGGGGAAAGAUUUAUCGCCGAAAGAUUGGCCCGCGUCUGAUUAGCUAGUUGGUGAGGUAACGGCUCACCAAGGCGACGAUCAGUAGCUGGUCUGAGAGGAUGAUCAGCCACAUUGGGACUGAGACACGGCCCAAACUCCUACGGGAGGCAGCAGUGGGGAAUAUUGGACAAUGGGCGCAAGCCUGAUCCAGCCAUGCCGCGUGAGUGAUGAAGGCCCUAGGGUUGUAAAGCUCUUUUGUGCGGGAAGAUAAUGACGGUACCGCAAGAAUAAGCCCCGGCUAACUUCGUGCCAGCAGCCGCGGUAAUACGAAGGGGGCUAGCGUUGCUCGGAAUCACUGGGCGUAAAGGGUGCGUAGGCGGGUCUUUAAGUCAGGGGUGAAAUCCUGGAGCUCAACUCCAGAACUGCCUUUGAUACUGAAGAUCUUGAGUUCGGGAGAGGUGAGUGGAACUGCGAGUGUAGAGGUGAAAUUCGUAGAUAUUCGCAAGAACACCAGUGGCGAAGGCGGCUCACUGGCCCGAUACUGACG